rnacentral:lncRNA from 1 species
AGACGUGGAAAAACUUAUGGUCUCUGGAGGAGACAGUUUGGGGGGUGGGGGGAUGUGCCUGGGCUAUGGGAUGGAAAUCCUGUGAAAUCAGAUUGUUAUGAUCAUUGUACAACUACAGAUGUGAUAAAUUCAUUUGAGUAAUAAAAAAAAUGAAAAAAUGAAAAAAAAAUAAAUAAAAAAUAAAAAAUUUUGUUCACUAUUUGAAAUGACUGGAAUGCUAAUCAAAAAAGUGGAAGAUUGAAAGUUAAAGUCCUUCUUGAACUGCAAGAAAAUAAGAUCAACCUUGGAAAUUGUAGUGAAAUUUAUCAACAAAUGUAUAUUAAUCUCAGUUACCACCUUCUUUGCAUGAGUUAAAGAUGGGCUUAAAGACAUAUUUGGAAAUAUACUUUUGAGUAUGAUGAUUAGAUUUAAAGAUCUGUAUCAUUCAUACACAUGUGAUUAUGUAAAAAUAUCAGCCAAAAUUUGCAGAAUAACAUAGGUAGAUAAGAUGCCUAUUUAUAAACCAUUGUAUAAUUUGUAUCAGUGUGAUUUAGGUUUUUCUAUCUACAGUUCAAACUUUUAUAUCCACUUGUUUGGAAAGAAGAUAUAAUUCUUUUAAUAGCAUCUCCAACUACAUAUUUGUUUGAAAAAGGUUUUGAUGUACCACUGCAGUUACUGCAAAGAUGAACAAGAGGUAAACUGCUAACGUGUAAAGGAGAUGUGACAUUCCUUUAAAUUUAGAACUAAAUUAGCAUAGGCAUUGACUUAGCAAGGAUCUUAGUUUUGUCAUACAAUUUUUAAAUAAAGUGCCGCUUAAAAUUUAGUUGUCUAGGAAAUCUGUGAUGUGAGCUCCCAGCAGGGAGAUGAGCAAAUUGUGAUCCAGGAAGAGAGGAGCUGAGAGCCUGGCGGUUGCUAAAUGGAUUGGAAGGCGCUUCAUUGAGGCCUGGGGAGGCUUCUUGCUUGUUGAGGGCUUCUGGCCCUCACGUGGGAAGGUCUGGUGCCCCUGGUCUGGGAAAAGAAGACCUGCAGACACUGCCCGCUGGAAAGAGCCGCUGCUGGGAGUGGGUAAGAAAGUUCCCUCCCCAUUCUGCCUCAGCCUGGACCGCUGGAGCAGGGUCGUUGGCUGCAGACCAUGUCACAGCUCAGACUCCCACAGCAGUAGCUUCUGAAGCUCUGCUCUCAUUGUCACCACCUGUGUCUGGCUUGGAGAGGCGGAAGGUUGACUAUGAAGGAGCUUUGAAGGGAUUCCUGCUCAGGCCGGCCAGUUGCCUUUCUUGGUGUCCGUCUGUUGUUGCCCAGCUAGAGACCACAAAAGCUUGA